GGGCUGGGGCUCAGCGGUAGAGCGCUUGCCUAGCCUGUGCGAGGCCCUGGGUUCGAUCCUCAGUGUCAGAUCA
rnacentral:tRNA from 1 species